rnacentral:rRNA from 1 species
AAUGAACGCUGGCGGUAGGCCUAACACAUGCAAGUCGAACGAGUGGCGGACGGGUGAGGAAUAAAUCGGAAUCUACUUUGUCGUGGGGGAUAACGCAGGUAAACUUUCGCUAAUACCGCAUACGAUUGAAUGGGCCGAUGUCGGAUUAGCUAGUUGGCGGGGUAACGGCCCACCAAGGCGACGAGCCGUAGCUGGUCUGAGAGGAUGAUCAUCCACACUGGAACUGAGACACGGUCCAGACUCCUACUCUGAUCAUCAGGUUAAAAUAUUGGACAAUGGGCGCAAGCCUGAUCCAGCCAUACCGCGUGUGUGAAGAAGGCCUUCGGGUUGUAAAGCCCUUUUGUUGGGAAAGCGGUACCCAAAGAAUAAGCACCGGCUAACUUCGUGCCAGCAGCCGCGGUAAUUC